GAUGAACGCUGGCGGCGUGCCUAAUACAUGCAAGUCGAGCGAACAGACGAGGAGCUUGCUCCUCUGACGUUAGCGGCGGACGGGUGAGUAACACGUGGAUAACCUACCUAUAAGACUGGGAUAUCUUCGGGAAACCGGAGCUAAUACCGUAUAAUAUAUUGAACCGCAUGGUUCAAUAGUGAAAGACGGUUUUGCUGUCACUUAUAGAUGGAUCCGCGCCGCAUUAGCUAGUUGGUAAGGUAACGGCUUACCAAGGCAACGAUGCGUAGCCGACCUGAGAGGGUGAUCGGCCACACUGGAACUGAGACACGGUCCAGACUCCUACGGGAGGCAGCAGUAAGGAAUCUUCCGCAAUGGGCGAAAGCCUGACGGAGCAACGCCGCGUGAGUGAUGAAGGUCUUCGGAUCGUAAAACUCUGUUAUUAGGGAAGAACAAAUGUGUAAGUAACUAUGCACGUCUUGACGGUACCUAAUCAGAAAGCCACGGCUAACUACGUG
rnacentral:rRNA from 1 species